CCUACGGGUGGCAGCAGUGGGGGAUAUUGCACAAUGGGGGGAACCCUGAUGCAGCGACGCCGCGUGGGUGAAGGAGUGCUUCGGCAUGUAAAGCCCUAUCGGCAGGGAAGAAGCAAGACGGUACCUGACUAAGAAGCCCCGGCUAACUACGUGCCCUCAGCCGCGGUAAUACGUAGGGGGCGAGCGUUAUCCGGAUUCACUGGGUGUAAAGGGAGCGUAGACGGCCAUGCAAGCCAGCGGUGAAAGCCCGGGGCUCAACCCCGGGACUGCCCUUGGAACUGUGCGGCUAGAGUGCGGGAGGGGCAGGCGGAAUGCCUGGUGUAGCGGUGAAAUGCGUAGAUAUCAGGAGGAACACCGGCGGCGAAGGCGGCUUACUGGACAGUAACUGACGUUGAGGCUCGAAAGCGUGGGGAGCAAACAGGAUUAGAUACCCCGGUAGUC
rnacentral:rRNA from 1 species